UACGUAGGGUGCGAGCGUUGUCCGGAAUUAUUGGGCGUAAAGAGCUCGUAGGCGGUGUGUCACGUCGGCCGUGAAAACCUGCAGCUUAACUGUGGGCGUGCGGUCGAUACGGGCAGGCUGGAGUUCGGUAGGGGAGACUGGAAUUCCUGGUGUAGCGGUGAAAUGCGCAGAUAUCAGGAGGAACACCGGUGGCGAAGGCGGGUCUCUGGGCCGAUACUGACGCUGAGGAGCGAAAGCGUGGGGAGCGAACAGG
rnacentral:rRNA from 1 species